AACGCGAAGAACCUUACCUGGUUGACACACGGAACUUCAGAGAUGGAUUGGUGCCUGGGAACCGUGAGACAGGUGCUGCAUGGCUGGAGCGUGGUGAGAUGUUGGGUUAAGCCGCAACGAGCGCAACCCUUGAUUAGUUGCUACAUUUAGUUGGGGACAUGCGAGACCGCCGGUGACAAACCGGAGGAAGGUGGGGAUGACGAAGAAUGCCUUAUGCAGGGCUACACACGUGCUACAUUGGCGCGUACAGGGGGCUGCAAGACCGUGAGGUGGAGCGAGCCUUAAAGCGCGGGUGGAUUGCAGGCUGAAACGCCUGCAUGAAGGCGGAGUUGCUAGUAAGCGGAAGCACUGCCGCGGUGAAUACGUCCGGGUUGUACACACCG
rnacentral:rRNA from 1 species